rnacentral:rRNA from 1 species
AACGAACGCUGGCGGCAGGCUUAACACAUGCAAGUCGAGCGCCCCGCAAGGGGAGCAGCAGACGGGUGAGUAACGCGUGGGAAUCUACCCAGCUCUACGGAAUAACUCAGGGAAACUUGUGCUAAUACCGUAUACGUCCGAUAGGAGAAAGAUUUAUCGGAGUUGGAUGAGCCCGCGUUGGAUUAGCUAGUUGGUGGGGUAAUGGCCUACCAAGGCGACGAUCCAUAGCUGGUCUGAGAGGAUGAUCAGCCACACUGGGACUGAGACACGGCCCAGACUCCUACGGGAGGCAGCAGUGGGGAAUAUUGGACAAUGGCGCAAGCCUGAUCCAGCCAUGCCGCGUGAGUGAUGAAGGCCCUAGGGUUGUAAAGCUCUUUCACCGGUGAAGAUAAUGACGGUAACCGGAGAAGAAGCCCCGGCUAACUUCGUGCCAGCAGCCGCGGUAAU